GGGCGGGCCUCACGAUGGAGAAGAUGGUGGCCCGGACAGGGGCAGAAGUCUGAGGGACCCUCAGUGGAUGGGAAUGUUGGUGGCCCCUAGCUCCAAGAGCGUGUCUGCCAAGAGCUCAGGCCCUUCCGCCUCCACCUCCUCAAGGAUCCUUCUGGAGCAUCAGGAGGGGAUCUGUUGCCCUGUCCCCAACCAAGCCUCCACUGUGUCUGCAGGGUAGAGGUGUAAGGAGGGCUGGAAGGAUAUAAACAGAUGAAAGGCUGGAGGCACAGCAGAGACCCAACUCAUCCAUCGCAUCCCUCAUGAAGCUGGGCUUUGUGUCAAGUCUGGCUUCCAUACUGUAUCAACAGUCAUGCCCUUGUACUAUCUCCAGAGACCCUGAGGAUGCCCUUCCUAAAAUCGCUUUCUGCCCCAGGUGGGGUACCAAAUAACCUUUGUCUCCUCCUUCAUCAUUUUCUCCAUCCCGUCUUCCCAGACCAUUCCAAUGGGAUGCUUUUCAGUCACUAACACAACGACUUGACAAACAUGUCUUCAGGUUCUUUUCACGGGUCUUCCUUCAAGAAGGGGCUGAGAAGGGGCAGAUAGAGGAUAGACAGAGGGAAGUACAGCAGACAGAGGUUAGCCUCUGAGGACCCAAGCCCUGGAGAACAUCACCACCCAGAUAAAGAAGGGGCUCUUCGGGUUUGAGGAAGGGAUAAAGAGAUGGCUCAGUUGGUGAAACAUUUGCCAACGAGAUAAGGGUGUGAAUUUGAUUCCUAGCACCCGCGUAAAAAGGUUGGGUUCUGCAGUGCAUGCUUGUAGUGCUAGUGCAAGGAAGUGGGGG
rnacentral:sRNA from 1 species